rnacentral:rRNA from 1 species
UACGUAGGUGGCAAGCGUUAUCCGGAAUUAUUGGGCGUAAAGGGCUCGUAGGCGGUCUGUCGCGUCAGGAGUGAAAACUCGGGGCUUAACCCCGAGCCUGCUUCUGAUACGGGCAGACUAGAGGUAUGCAGGGGAGAACGGAAUUCCUGGUGUAGCGGUGAAAUGCGCAGAUAUCAGGAGGAACACCGGUGGCGAAGGCGGUUCUCUGGGCAUUACCUGACGCUGAGGAGCGAAAGUGUGGGGAGCGAACAGG